GGAUAAAAUUUAUGUGGUUAAUACAAUUAGCUGAAAACAAAUAAAGAUAAAACUACUGAUUUUAAUCCUCAGUUCUAAACAAGUUCAUAAUGUAGAAGACCUUUCAAUUUUUUUUUAGGUCAUAACCAUAAAAACCUAGCCUAAAUGGUCUUUCUGCACAGUACAACAUGCAAAUUCAAAUCAAGCAUUAAAACAAGUAUAUCAAGAAAAAGAGAA
rnacentral:misc_RNA from 1 species